rnacentral:rRNA from 1 species
CCUACGGGGGGCAGCAGUGGGGAAUAUUGGACAAUGGGCGAAAGCCUGAUCCAGCCAUGCCGCGUGUGCGAAGAAGGCCUUCGGGUUGUAAAGCACUUUCAGUGGGGAAGAAAGCCUUGGGGCUAAUACCCUCGAGGAAGGACAUCACCCACAGAAGAAGCACCGGCUAACUCCGUGCCAGCAGCCGCGGUAAUACGGAGGGUGCGAGCGUUAAUCGGAAUUACUGGGCGUAAAGCGCGCGUAGGCGGUCUGAUAAGCCGGUUGUGAAAGCCCCGGGCUCAACCUGGGAACGGCAUCCGGAACUGUCAGGCUAGAGUGCAGGAGAGGAAGGUAGAAUUCCCGGUGUAGCGGUGAAAUGCGUAGAGAUCGGGAGGAAUACCAGUGGCGAAGGCGGCCUUCUGGACUGACACUGACGCUGAGGUGCGAAAGCGUGGGUAGCAAACAGGAUUAGAUACCCUGGUAGUC